rnacentral:lncRNA from 1 species
ACAUACAUAACCAGAACUCCUAGUUUCUCACUCACAAAAUCAAAAUGAUUUCUCUAAAUCGUAUUUGGAUGGCCACCGGUGUAGUUAUUGUGAAUGGACAUAAAUCCCUCCUCCUCAACUCCUUCCGCCAUGGCAAGAAGGCUUUCACCUCCGAUCUCCGUCCACUUUCCGGCCUUCUAAUAUUAGAUGUCAGUGUCGGAGACAAGAAGAGAACACAGUCCAAUGAGUCUCUCCGGCAAGUCAUGUACUUUAACUGCUGGGGCCAAAGCUGAAGAUUGGUUUAAUUGUGUUGUGUGUUUGGGAGGCUUCAAUUCUCGACGGAUGAGCAAUCGAUGAUGCGAGUUAAGUUAAGUCAUGGUUUGGGGAUUUGGGAGUGAGUCGUAAAAUGGAUUAUUUCCUUUUCCUGAGGAAGAAGGUUUUAAUUUGUAAAUAUCACUGGCUCAUAUAGUAUUAACCAAUACAAUGCAUAUAUAACAAUCUAAAGUAAAUGUUACUUUUCUUUUGGAACUUGAUAUUGUUUGUCUUGAGCUGAGCUUGUUGAUUUUUAUGAUCCGGGCAAAUUCAAUCAAAUUCUAAAAUUUCACAUUGUAAUUAAUGAUUAGAAAAAAGGAGAUUAAGAAAACCAUGAAGUUAUUAAUUUCUUCUAAAAACGAAAAAUAAUAUCCCAAACUAUUAGUAAAUUUUCUCCAAAAGUUUUCUAUAUAUCCAUCAAUUUUGUAAGGUCAACAGUAAAAUGGAUCUGGGAUUUGCAAAAUUAAACUCUUGAAAAAAAACAUGUAAAGAAAAUCAUUCUAUUACUCAACGUAAAGCAAAAUUGUUCACGAUCCUAGGAAAAUUUCUUACAAAAAACAACUUUUUGUGAUAUUUUCACACCAAAAGAUAGUUUACAUUGCUAUAAUGGAAUUCGUAAAAAGGAAGUCAUAUGUUCAUAAAUAUUUAAAAAAGAUCUAAUAUAAAAAUGAGGGGAAAAUAUCUAAUGUAAAAAUAUCCUACACUAUUAAACUUUUCCAACAAUUUUCUAUAUAAUCAUCAAUUUCACAAGGUGGACAUGAUGUGUGCAUAUCAAAAUUAUCAAGAUGUCUCGUAAAAAAUAUAAAUUAAAGAAAAUCAUUAUGAAAAUUAAAGUUCAAUGUGAAAUUCACUCAACGUACGUAAUGCAAGAUUUUAAAUAAAAUGGAAAAAGAGACUUACAUUCGUAAAAAGGAAGUCUUAUGUUAAAUUUAAAAAAUAUAUAUAUGUCUUAUAAAAAUGAGUGGAAAAAAUAUCUUAUGUGUUUGAAAAAUAUCUAAUAUAAAAUAUCCUAAACUACUAAAUUUUUUCCAAAAGAUGUCUAUAUAACCAUCAAUUCUAUAGGAUUAGGAUUAACAGUAACGGGUAAGGAGUAAUGAGGAGAGUGUUUGAAGCAAAUGAUCAACAAAAACAUAAUUUUAUAAAAUAACAACGACUUCCAUAGAGACGAGCUCUAUGGAAGUCCUUAUGCUCUGAGGAACAAGAAAACUUUCUGAGGACAUGAGUGACGGGGAAAAAGACCAAAAAAAUUAUAAAAUUUUAAUUCCGCAGUGGGUGCAUCGUUCCACAGAAAUGCCCUCUGCAGAUCUGUUCUUUAGAGUAGUACCUUUGAGGAAUUGUUCUUCGCUAAAACAUGACGUAUUUCUUCACUAAAUUCUAAGUCUAUUUCUUAAAACAUAGUUUUAUAGUUUAAUUUGUUAUUUUGAAUUAAUGAUAUGUGCUAAAUAUUGAUCUUAUUAGAUUUAUAAGAAAACAAAUACCAAAAUCGUUAUUAGGCUAUGUUUUAGCGAAGAACAAUUCCUCAGAGAAACUCCUCUAAAACAGAUCCAUAGAUGACAUCUCAGUGGAAUGAUGCGCCCUUUGUGAAAUUAAAAUUUUAUAAUUUUUUUUGUCUUUUUCCCCCGUCAUGUCAUUUCCUCAGAGAAUUUUCUAGUUCAUCAGAGCCCCUCUCUGCGGAAGUCAUCAUUUUAUAAAAUGGUGUUUUUCAUGGUCAUUUGGUUCAAACACUCUUCUCUAUUUGGUUAUUUGAUGAAUUUUCUCUAUAAACAUUACAAAAUUAAAACAAUGUCUAAAAAAAUAUAAAAUAAUGUCAUUGUGAAAGUUAAUGUUCAAAUUUAAAUUCAAUAAGUGUAAGGGAGUUAGGAGUGAUUCCUCCCAACUCAUUCAAACCAUUCCAAACUAUUAAACAUUUUCCAAAAAAAAUUCUAUAUAACUAUAAAUUUCGCAAGAUCAAGAGUAAAACUGAUAAGUGCAUUGCAAAACUAAACAAUGUUUCGAAAAAAAUUAUAAAGAAAAUCAUUAUGAAAUUUUUUUGUUCGGUGUAAAAUUCACUCAACGUAAUGCGUUAUUGUUAAUAAUUCUACAAAAAUUUCUUAUAAAAUUUAACUUUUGUGAUAUUUCCACUCCAAGAACAAAGAGUUUACAUUGCUAAACUUGAAUAAGAGAGUUUCACAUUCCUAAAAAGGAAGUCUUGUUGAAAAUGAAAUUUAAAAGAAUAUAAUAGUUUUUAUGGUAUUUUUACUCCAAAAAAAAUCUAAUGUAAAAAAUGAAUAAAAAAAUUGUCUUAUAUAUAGAAGCUAAACAAAAUGGUUAAAAUAUUAUUAUUAUUAUUAUUAUUAUUAUUAUUAUUAUUAUUAUUAUUAUUAUUAUUGUUAUUGUUAUUAUUAUUAUUAUUAUUAUUAUUAUUAUUAUUAUUAUUAUAAAGUUUUAUAUAAAUAUAGAGUGAAUUUUAUAUGGUUUAAAUGGUCCCUAUUGUUUUUUUUUUCGCACUUGAGAGGAACCAAGUUUUACUUUACCGGCUAAAUUGGUUCAGUUACCUGUUUUAACAGGUAAACCAUACACGUAAUAAGAAUAGUCGGCAAGUGAGUUGAGUCUGAGUUAACUCAUGUACAUGUCAUUAAGUUGUGACCGGUUCCUUGCUUGGGACCUAAGGGUCACUGUGGACCCAUCAGUCCAUAAAAGCAGUGGCUUAUUCGAUGAAACCCUAAAUCUUCAAUACCCUUUUCCACUAAAGGUUACCGAUAAUCCGACAUAACCUCGAUACUUCGCAUUCACGUGAGUCACGAUGGCGACCCCACCACCACUUUCGCCGGAGUCAAUAUCUAUAAAUUCACGAGACCGUCUCAACUUCGGCGAUUUGCAUACGAUUUAUUGUGAUUGUGGAGCAGAAAUUGCAGAGCAGAAAAUGGAAGUCGCCCGUUCAAAGAAGAAAUGGGUCAAGAUUUGGUGUUAAGCAGGGUUCAGUCACUCGCAUUACAUCGUCGGAUUGAGCGCACGGAGAAAAAGGUGACUUUGUUGACUGUAUUGGUGAUUAGACUUGUGAUUGUGACUUUUGGUUUUAUGGUGGAGAAGUUUCUUCGUAUCGUGAACCCCUGAUUUGUUGGUGUUUAUGUUGGUGGUUUGUAGUGUUUGUGUUGAUUAGGUAUGUAUGUGUCUUCUUUUAGUAGUAUAAUGUUGUGUAUUAGGGUUUAUGUGUUUGUUUUGGCGAAGGUGAUUGAAGACCUGUCUAAGCACAAACAAUUUUGUAUAAAGUAAACUUUGUAACCGGGUUUAUUUAAUGGAAAAAUAGUAGUUAAUGAGUUAUAGUUAAUUAGUGUGAAAGAGGGUAAUUUCGUCCUUUCACAAUUUACCCUUACAUAUACUCAUGUUUCAGACACAUAUGUGGGCUUAAUAAGCUUUCUUUUGCUCUCAUAUUCUUCUUACCGUUCAAGUGACCUAACUGAAAUGAAGGGUUCGAUGAAAUCAGUUCAAUGCUCGUGUGGAUGUGAAGCAAUAUUACGAACGUCAACUACUAAAUACAACCCUGGCCGACUCUUUUAUGCUUGCCCUAAAAAGGUAAAUGUAAAUUGCAUGUUAACUGUUGACCUAGAUUUUGAUAAUUUGUUUCUGGGUUUGGUAACUUAAUCUAUAACAAAUAAUAACUUCCAUUGUAGGGGCCUCGUGAUGGCUUCAUAUGUUGGGCAGAUGAAGUGGAGAGUACUAACACGACUGCUGAUACAACUUUGGUUACAAAUUUGGUUCUGGCAAAUAAGAAGCUUCAAUCUGAUGUUAGAAAGAUGAAGUUAUGGUUAUUUCUAAGUUGGGCUGUUUUUUUGUGGUAUUAGUCUACAAGUUGUAAUGGGUAUGUAAAGGGUUUGUAAUCCCAUUCGUAUUAAAUAUGGUUUCCUUUCCUAUUAAGAUGAAGUUAUGGUUAUUUCUAAUAUGGUUUCCUUUCAUGUUUACCAAUGUAUUUGUAAUGGUUAUGUAAUGGAUUUGUAAUCCCUUUCCUAUAAGUGCCUUGCUAUUGUGUGUCAUCGUUUUGUUUGUGUUACUAUUGUACAUAAAAAAACAUUCAACAAACACAUUCCAUAAUAAUACUAUGGGUACCCUAAUACUAUUACGAAACAAAGUUAAAUAACACAUCAAACAACCAACCUAGUCUUAACACAAUACCAAAUAACAGUUAUGUCUAUUCAAUAUUCAUUGGAUUAUCACCAGAAUUUACUUCUCCAUUUUUCCCUUCAACCCUUUUUGCCAAUUUUUUCUUUAUAAUCCUUUCUGAUUGCUUCCGUUUACGUGCAACUGUUGUUUUUGAACCACUUCCUUCCUCUUCAUUACCACCUUGAGAUUGCUUCUGUUUACGUCCAACAGUUGUUUUUGAACCACUUCCUUCCUCUUCAUUACCACCUUUAGUAGUUGAUCUCUUUCUCUUCACCUUGAGUUUUUUGGGCUUCUCAACUUUCGGACAUGUAGCCUUGUUGUGACCAACUUGUUUACACACACUACAUAGAAUUUUCUUCCCAACCUUUGACACGGUGUGUCUAGUACUCUUUUCUCCUGGGUCCUUCCUUCUAUUAACUUUAGGUCUGCCUAGCAUUUUCCUUUUCAAAGGUGGCAAUGGUGGUAUGAAAUUGGUACUUGGCCACAUAUUGCUGCCAUUCAUCCCUCUCAGUGGGUACUUGUAAGCAUUUCUAUAAAAAGCUCCAAAGAACAUGGGAUCCACAUAACUUCCGACAUCUCUGUUUAGGUAACUAAUAGUUGCAACUGAGUGCACACACCCAUACCCAUUUAGUUGCCAAACUCUACAAGAACAUGUCUUCUUGUCUAAGUCAACGACAUAAGACUCUGCUAAGUUUCUUGUCUCAAAUUGGUUCAACCCACUUGGUAAAACCUGCCAAUAUCUAAUAACAUUGUCUAAAAGUUAGUGUAAGUUUAGUAUUAUCUAUGAUGUUAACAAACACAAACUAAGUUUACCUUUGAGCUUUUUUCAAUUGAUUCAACAAGGAUCUAAUUGAUGGACAUGGUUCCAAAUCUGGCCAUGAACUGCCUUUCAUGCUCAAAUGAAACUGCAUUUCCAUAACAUACAAUCUAAUCUCUUCAAGCAUUGUGAUGAUUGGUUUCUUCCUUGCAUCUCUUAUAACAUUGUUAAAGCUCUCCGACAACCCAUUCUCUACAGCAUCACACAUCUUGCCCUCCUCAAAAAAAGCUCUACACCAUGAUCGUGGGUUCUUUUCUGUUAGAUACUCAAAGGCUGAAGGAUUGAGAAGUUGUAUUUCCUUCAUUGUUGCAUUGUGUAAAGGCUCAGUAGAUGCCUUGCAUGCCUUCCAAAACAUUUUCUCAUACAUUACUCCGGGGAAUCUUUUCCUAAAGUUGGCAACAACAUGCCUUGCACACUGUCUGUGUUCAACAGUAGGCAAAAUCUCCUUCACAGCUUCCAAUAGUCCCUUCACAUUAACAAUUUAAAUUGUAAAAUAGUAUAGGCAACUUUCAUUAAUAAAUAAAAUACAACUAAGAAACAUACCUUAUGUUGAUCUGACAUCAAUACAAUUCCAAAACCAUUGUACAUUCCUAAGUCAUCUUUUAAAUUUUCCAAAAACCAUUUCCAAUUCUCUUUGAUUUCAACACACACAACUGCCCAUGCAAUUGGAAAUAUAUGAUUAUUAGCAUCCCUUCCAACAGCAGUUAUUAACUCUCCGGUACAUAUCCCCUUAAGGAAACAGCCAUCCAGGUUAAUUACUCUUCUACAACUACCCCUCCACCCUUGCUUUAGUCCCUUAAAACAAACAUAAAACUUACUAAAAUAAUUUUUCCCAUCAGGCAUAGUAGUGACAUCAAUCUUCACAGUUGAUCCUGGUUUGAUCUUCUUAUCUCCUCACCAUAUGACCAAAGCUUUGAAUAGUGCUCAACCAAUGUGCCUUCAAUUAGCUCGAUAGCAUGCUUUUUUGCUCUCCUGAAUUGACCCAUACUUACAUCUAUACCAAAAGCCUGUUUCACCUCUUCCUUAAGCAUCCUAACACUCAUUUUCUGUUUUUGUAAGAACUCAGUUGUAAAAUGGCUACCAAUCCAAGCAUAGCUAACAAUUGAUCCAAGUUUAAAGUUUCUAGCACAAUUAUGCUCAUCUAUAAGGGACUUAAUCUGGAAAGAGUUUUCUUCACUCAUCCAUGAAGCCCAUAGCCUAAACUUACACUGCCCAGAACAACAUUUAACUAAUAGUCUUCUACUGUCAUUUUUUUUGUAGCACAACUGAUGCCCAUUAGCAACAACAUAAUUACAUAACAUAAGCUUUAACUGUUUUGGACUAUGAAAUCGCAUUCCUAACACAGGUUUUUGUUUUUUCCAAUGCACAUUUUCAUUGUAUGUAGUAACCUCUUCAAAAUUUACCUCAUUUUCUUCCAUUUGAAGAUAUGGAUCCUCAUGAGGUGGACUAUUUGGAGUUGACUGGACUUUUGGGCAUAGCUUUCUCAAAAACUCAUCGUUAAUGGUCUUAUUCAUUGGAUUGCCAUCUACGUGUUCAAGGUCAUCGUGUACAUUACCUUGCAGUUCAUCCGGGCCAUUUUGCACAAAUCCAUCAUAAUGAUUGUCUUCCACAACGCUCUCUUCAACUUCCUCAUCAAUAAUCCACCGUUGGACAUUCACACCUAGAUGAUCCAUGUAUACAUCCACGACACAACCAGCAGCAUACCCAGCUUCGAUGAAGUCCUGGUAGUCUAUUUCAGUAGCCAAGAUCCUCAAUCCAUCAGGAAACUCUUUUCCAGGCAUGCAAUAAAAAACAUUUACACACAUUUCAAUUGCAAAUCUUUGUACGAAGUUAACAAACUCGUUCCUGUCCAUUCCAGCAAAAUCAACAUCUUCGAACCUUUGUUCUGCUCCAUCCGUAUAACUAAUUUCGGGGUACCUUGUAAAAAACCCAGCAAAGUGACGAUCGAUCUUCAUAUAAACCACCAUAAGAUUUUACAGACAAAAAAUACGACAAAAAGGGGAAGAAGAAAGUGAGGGUUGUUAUAUAAUAUGUCUUGUAGGGCAAGCUCAGUAAACGAGUAGGUUACAUGGCAGCUUAGGUGGAUUAAUUUCGAUGACGUGUGUACCUUAUAUGAUGACUAGGAUAAUGUUAACCGGCUCAACUCUUCCACUUUGAACAAAAUGGCUUUAAAAACUAUUUUCUAAGUCUUGGUUCCACUCAAGUGCGAAAAAAAAACAAUAAGGACCAUUUAAACCAUAACUAGAAAGAUGGUUGGGUGAGAGUGAGAUUUACCAAAAAUAAUAUCAUUCUGAAAGUUAAUGUUCAAAAUUAAAUUCAAUAAGUGUAAGGGAGUUAGGAGUGGUUCCUCCCAACUCAUUCAAACCAUUCCAAACUAUUAAACAUUUUCCAAAAAAAUUUCUAUAUGACUAUAAAUUUCGCAAGAUCAAGAGUAAAACCGAUAAGUGCAUUGCAAAAUUAAAACAAUGUUUCGAAAAAAAUUAUAAAGAAAAUCAUUAUGAAAUUUUUUGUUCGGUGUAAAAUUCACUCAACGUAAUGCGUUAUUGUUAAUAAUUCUACAAAAAUUUCUUAUAAAAUUUAACUUUUGUGAUAUUUCCACUCCAAGAACAAAGAGUUUACAUUGCUAAACUUGAAUCAGAGAGUUUCACAUUCCUAAAAAGGAAGUCUUGUUGAAAAUGAAUUUUAAAAGAAUAUAAUAGUUUUUUAUGGUAUUUUUACUCCAAAAAAGAUCUAAUGUAAAAAGUGAAUAAAAAAAUUGUCUUAUAUAUAGAAGCUAAACAAAAUGGUUAAAAUAUUAUUAUUAUUAUUAUUAUUAUUAUUAUUAUAAAGUUUUAUAUAAAUAUAGAGUGUAAACAAGCAACAAGCUAUGUCACAACCCUUUUUGAAUGACAAACCUAAUUUUUUGAAAAACAUCUAUAGAUCUUGAGUCAUAACAUUAAAUCAAAAUCAUAUUAAAUAAAAACCUACAAACUAAAUCAAAACCUAAAAUUAAAGAGUAAAUUACACGAACAGUACCUAUGAUUUAGGGUAAUUUGCGUAUUUGGUCCAUAACUUAUUUUUUUAACUUGAAAAGUCCUUAUUGUUUGUUUUUUAUUAUGCGCUUGGUCCAUGUCUUACAUAAAAAGACUAUUUUGCGCUUGAUUUUUUAAUUUAUUUAAAUAAACACACCUCAACCCCACUCCCCUCACCUUACUUUACAUAUCCCACAAUUUUUUUCUAUUUAAAUAAUAGUCUUUUUAGAUAAGAUAAAGACCAAACGCAUAACAAAAACAAACAGUAGGGACCAAGUGCGUAACAAAAACAAAGAAUAGAGACCUUCCAAGUUAAAAAAAAAAUAAUAAUAAGUUGAAGAUCAAACAUGCAAAUUACCCCAAACCAUAAAGACCAUUCGUGUAAUUUAUUCAAAAUUAAAAUAUACUCAUCUCAUAUAAAGUUGCCAAAACUAACUCAUGAAAUAUUUAAUGUCCAUAUGUCCAUAUAUGCAUAUAAUAGGUCUCCACUAAACUUGAAAUGCUAAGGAUAAUCAAAGUAUGAGGUAAUCAAUUUCGUAUCUUUUUUCUUUGAAAACAGGCAAAUGAAAUAUGUAAAAGUAAAAGGACAGCCCGUGUAGCAAGAAACUAGAACGGAGGCCAAUAAAAGUAUAAAAUAAUCAUAUUAUAGAAGAUAUUUUGGUGGCGUUAUGAUUGGGCUAUAAUUGUAUUGAGCCCAACAAGGCUUCCAAUUGGGUCAGUUCACUCAAUUCAAUACCCUGCCAAUAAUCUAGACUGUCAAUUAGGUCAAUGUUUCUUGAGCGUAUGGUAUUGAUGUUGAAUCUAGGGCAUGAAGUUGAAAUGUUGAAUAUGAAUUUGAUACAUGUUUAAAUUAGAGGUUGGCUAAAAAGAUUUUUUCAAAGGAAAAGUUGAGUUCUUUUAUUAAGAUCGAGUCAUUAGUGUUUUUUUUUUUUUUUUUUUUUUUUUUUUUAAUUUUUAAAUUUAAUUGGUCUUAAAACUUUACUAACAUGAUUUUAAAAUAGGCUCAAUAGUUCUCAUUUGAAUAGAUUCCUAACAGGUGGUUGCGCGACGAUCAUGCCUUAGUUUGCAAAAAAGAUAACCCAUGUCACAUUCCUUAAGGUCGAUGUAGAUGAACUCUGAGUAAUAAUAGACAAAGUUAUGGGUGUUAAGAAAGACAAACUCGAUGCUUGUGUUGUUAAGCAUUAAGAAGUUGCUAAUAUAUCUGCUUAAUAUAGUCUAGAUAUGAUUAAAUCUUGGAUAUUGUCUAUGUAGCAAUAUUUACCGAUUUGAUAUAAUAUUUGGAUAACUGGAAGAUGUUGUUUGAAUAUUAAUUGUACUUGUUGUGACACUCAUUUAUUAUAUGAGUUUAUUUAAAAAAAUAAACAAACAUUAAGAUAUACCAAUUUAGAAAAUUUAAAUUUAUAAGAAAAAAAGUAAAAUAUUAAUUAUUAAAACUGAAAUGUUUAUUUAUCUUUUAAAUUUAAACUAAUUAAUUAAAUAAAUAAACAACUAAAAUAAUUGGAUUCAAUUUAAAAUUUUAGAAGUUAUAAAAAAAACUGCAUUAAUGAAUUGAAUAUACAUUUAUUAUUCAAUUUAUUACAUUUAAGUAUUAUCUGAAAUUUAAUAGAAAAUAAAAAACUACAAAAUAACAUAUGGAUAUAUUUUAAUUUUAAUUUAUUACAAAAUGACAUGUGACAUAAUAUAUAAGAAGAUGACAAAUAGUAAUAUUAUUUUUAUUUAUUAAAGAGGAUUUGUCUUCUGUUUUUAUAUCAAUUAAUGAUUAGUUUUUAUGUUUUUUUAACAUGUGGAAAUUUUAUUAAGCCAAUGCCAAAGAGAAAUGAGCAGUAAAAGGAUACAAAUUAAAACAGAACAAGGAAACAAAACACAAAAUGAAAAAACAAUCAUAAGUUUUAUAAUGCAGACUUUAAAAACAUAAAAAUAUAUCUUCUUAUUAUUUACACCACCUAAGUUUUCUUUUUUUGAUAUUAAUAUCCCUCCUUUUAAUCUUCUUUUUCUUCUUUGUUCAUUCUUUCAUUUACCUAUAUACUGCAGUAUUUUUUUAGGUUAUAAAUACCUUUAAUAAUAAAACAAAAAAACAAUCAUAAACUAUAUCGCAAUCAUCUUCAAUAAUAAAACAAAACCAUAACCAAAUCUUUUUCUUAUGACAUUUAUAUUCCUUUUUUGCUAAUUAAUCUUCUUUGUCUUGUUUUGUCAUUUUUUACACUAGCUCUAUUUAUAAACACCUUCAAUAAUAAUAAUAAUAUAUUAUAAUAAAGAUAAUAAUAGAAGAUAUUGCAAGAGCAUUUUCAAUUAUAAAACAAAAGCAGAACAUAUCAUAGACAAUACUAUAUGAUCUAACAAACUAAAUGAUAAUUCAUCAAACGUGCUUACAAGUAUAUAUUUUAGUUGUCAAAAGAACAUCUCCAACAAGUUAUCCCCUAUGUACAAGUUUUUAACUUCACUAUGGAUUUCUCUUAUAAAAGCCAAAAAUUAACCGAAGUUAGAUACAGUAUUAGACAAUCAAAUCAUAAAAAAUCUGAUAACACCGAUGGCUUUUUUUUUUUUUUUUUUUUUUUUAAUGAAGCUACCUAGUGAUUCCCAUUUGUUAAAUCAUAAAGUUUGUUUCAGAAUUAAUAUAUUUAUUUUGAUAAAAUAAGAGAAGAUAAACAAGUAAAUAAAAGAAUGAGAACAAAAGAAAUGGAGAGAGAUCAGUUACGGUUGAAGCUUGGAGCGCCAAAAGAAUUUGUGUUGGCUGAAAAUUUCAGUAAGAAAAUAUGUUAAUUCUAUAUUGAAAGGAAUUAAUUACGUUAAUAUUAUAAAAUAUAAUCUAUAAAAUAGCAUGUAAUUUGGUAAAGAAUAUGGGAUCUUCAAUCAAUAUAUAACAAACAAAAAUAAGGGUAUAUUGUUAAUAUAUUAUUUUUUAGUAGAUGGAUAAAAAAUGGUUGUGGAAAAAUCAGCUUCCUCUAUUUUUACCUUCUAUUUUUGAUCCCAUGAAACGUACGGGAUUGUUUCACUCUCAUGCCUGUGUGAUUUGGCAUCUCUAUUUAAACUUUUUUUUUUUGGUUUUUUGAUUCUUUAUCAAUCACUUUCGCAACGUACUUCGAAUUCAAACAAAACUCACUGCUUACAAUUAACUAUGAAAGAGGUAAUAUUUGGGAAUUAAUCUUUGUUUUCUCAUUCAUGUUGAUCUAGAUUCUAGACAUCUAUAAAGAAUAGAGAAACACACAAUGCCAUAAAUCACUCUUACAAAAUAUUCUAGUUUCUUAAGCGUAAAUACUUACUUAAGACAACUAGAUGUGUGCCCGCGCAAUGAAUAAUUUUUUUGACGAAUAGUUUUCUUACGGUAAAUUAACUAUUAGAUUUUGUUAUUAGUUAUUAUAUAAUAAGAAAAAUUACCAUUUUUAAUUAAAAUAUUUAUUUUUACAACUUAUAUUUAUAUUGUAUGUUUAUACAUUUGAUGUAAGUUAAUUAUUAUAUGUAUCUAGUUUAAAAAAUGUAAAUUAACUUAUAUUGAUGAAUUUAAUAUUUUAAAAUUGUUAUUUUGCUUCAUAUUAAUUUUUUUUAAUAACCUUCAUUAAUUCAAGUCUUCAAAAGUUUGGUAAGUAUUAAUGGUUUUGUUAUGCAUAAUUGAUUUAUAUAAAAAACUUUGUAUCUUGUAUCUUUUAAAAUUCAAGAUAUAACUAAUAUGCUUUAUAUAUAGUAUAAGAUAUAAGAUAAGAUAUAAGAUAUGUAGGAAAACAUAAACUCACAAUUUCCCAACAUCAACAUUUCAUUUAUAUAUGAAACAGUUGGUUUUCAUCAUACAUAUUACACAUAAAUCCUCACUACAAUAACUCUCAGUUCUCUGAUGAACAGCAAGAACACGAUCAAAAGAAUACAAAUUGAAACUCUAAUACAAACCCUAAAACUAGAGUGAACAAUCUUUGUGUGAGAGAGUAAAUCAAUCGUCUGAACUACGCAAAUGAAGAGAAAUCAACUUUAUAUACACCGGGGCAAACCCGGAUCCGGGUUAAACAACCCGCGAAGUAAAACUCUUUUGCAAUAUCAGAAAAUACCACAACACCCUUCCACAAUUGAAUAAAUAAUACAUAAAGACCAUUUUUCAUAUAAAUGACAAGUUUGUAUUAUAUAACAUUUUAACAAGAUAUAUAAAAAAAAAUACAUAAUAUAUCAAUAAAUAUAAAGAUGUUGGUGCAAAAGCUAUAGUGGAUAAAGAUAUUCUUUUUGGUGGUUAUAGUCAAUACUGUGACCGAGAAAAGGAUUUGUGGAUAAAAUUAUUUUUAUAUGUAGUAAUGUAGUAUUCAUUUUAUCCAUCCGACUAACCUAUCGUUUUCGCCCAACUAUUUAACAUAUAUGAUUCUCCCUCCUUUUUCAAUAUCUUUUAUUUUAGUUACAAAAAUAAAUGUUUUUUUUCUUGACUUUGUUACAACAUAUUUUAUUGCGCACAGAAUUUUCCAUUGAGAAAAAUAUCAAGUUCAAGAUAAAAGACAUUAAUUGGAUUUAGUUGGUUUCAAUGACGAAUCUAGAACCAAAAUCAACGUGGUUCCUUAUAUAAAUAAAUUGAAAAAAAUAUGAAAAUGUAGAUCUUUUGGCAAAAAUAAGGUAGUUCUUUAUGUUUUUUUUUAUAUAGAAUUGUUGUAUUAAAAAAGAAACAAAGUAGGUCCUUGGACCCACCUUCAUAUAAUAUAGCUACGCCCUUGGUUGGCUUACAACAUAUAUUAUUUUGUUGUAGGUUGGUUCGAUGUUCAAACUAUAUAUCAGUGUUUCCAACUAGUGGAUUUAACAAUGGUGAACCAUUAGCCAUGCAUACAAUUUAAAUCAUCAACAGUUCAAGACGGCAAACUAUAAACGUUCCUAAUCACACUCUAGUGUCUCUAUGUACUAGUUUCAUUAAAUGGUAAGCAAUGGUAUGUGACAAAUGUUGGAGUUUGGGAGGAGAAUAAAGUUUCUUAAAUCGAUGAACAAUAUCUAUUUGAAGGAUCGUAUGAAGACUUUUCAAAUAUGAUAUUUCAAUUCUAUAUUUGGUUUAUACGGAAUCCAAAUUAUAAAGAUAAUUUUUUAAGGAACAAUCUCAAAUCAAGGCAUUGAUAUGAGACCACAAACUAUGUUUUAUAAAAUUUAGAUUCUUAUGUUUACAGUUUAUCAAAUAUUAGCAUCAAUUAUUCUUGAAAUAAAGGAUGACGAUUUUAAAAAUAAUUAUGAAGAAUAUAUCCCGAAAGUAAUAUUUUCUAUAAUAUCUUCUUUACAAAAAAUAUAUUUUGAAAAUAAUAUUUUCAUAAUAUUUCCUUAUAUAAAAGAUGACGGUUUCUAGGAUAAUUAUAUAAAAGAUCGUUUCUGAAAUCAAUGAACAACGGGAUCCCCGCUAAGGCCUGCAAACCCCUUAACCCUGUCAUUUGGUCAAACUAAAAUUAAACUCGUUUCACACAAACACAAACUCCGCACCACAUAUCUUGUAAUAUAAUCAAGAAUUAAUAAUCUGUAAAUUCAAUUAGAUUAAAAUGACAUCAUGAUAUUAAAAUCACUUCCAACAUAUUCAAUAUACUAAAAGUCUAGACGUGGUUCAAAUAUGCAUAUUUUACAGUUCACUAUCGUGAAACCAUCAAUCCAUCAUGAUUAAAUUUGGGAGGGUUGCUUAAACAAUGGAUCACGAUGUUGAUGAAUUGAAUAUGUUUACUUAAAUCAUUCUUAAUGUUUUUUGUUUAAGAACUACGUCAUUAUUAGGUGUUAAAGCAAAUUAGAGCUUUGUGAUCAAGGUUCAAAAAGGUUUUUGUAAAGACUAUAUUAAUAUAUUUGUAUGUUUGGGGAAUCAAUGAUUAAAUCAUAUGUACAUGGAGAUUUUGAAGAUGUUUGGUUUACGAAUGGGUUUACACUUAACAUCCCAACCCCCUUCAUUACCAACAUAUACUCUAUUUGGUUUAUGAUAUGUAUUUAAAAAGUAGCAACUUUAUCGACUUAUCAUAAUAUCCCACCUAAUUUUGAUAUCUUAACGAGUAAACAAUGAGAAAGGAGCUAAAAAGCUCCAUCACCUACGUCCAUGUCAACCCACGUGUCUUGAAAAGAACAGGUGUUGAUACCCAUUACAAAAUUCCAAAACUAAUACAUUUAUUAUGUGGGCUCCAUCUAUGGGACUCUAGAUGUCUACUCAUUGGUUGCCAUCACUCAGUCAUUACUCACAUCGUUCCAAGAUAUGAUGGCCAGAUGAAUGCACCCCUCAUGAAGUCAUGGGCUCCCUCAAAACCACCUUACUUUUACCCCAAAACCACCUUCCUGUUUCCGGUUUCUUGUUUUCGUAAAAGACAAACUCUCACUCUAUAAAUAUCCCAUCCAUCAUCACAUUAAUUCCAAUUCACUCGCAACACAACAACCAUCAACUGUUCAAGUACCAAAUUUCCUUGGUUUUUUUUUCACAAAAUGACUUAUGUAAACCGUGUAUGGAUGGCUGCCGGCGUAGCUGUUGUAAAUGGACAUACAGAUCAAAGCUACAAACUUAAAUCCCUUCUCAUCAACUCCUUCCGCCAUGGCAAGAAGGCUUUCACCUCCGAUCUCCGUCCACUUUCCGGCCUUCUAAUAUCAGACGUCAGUGUCGGAGACAAGAAGACAACACAGUCCGAUGAGUCUCUCCGGCAAGUCAUGUACUUUAACUGCUGGGGCCAAAGCUGAAGAUUGGUUUGUGUUGAGUGUUUGGGAGGCUUUCUCGACGGAUGAGGAAUCGAUGAUGCGAGUUAACUCCUGGUGGGGAUGUGGGAGUGAGGGUGUGAUUUCAUGAAAGAAGAGGGCUACAAUUUGUAAAUAUAUAUGGAAUUGAAACUAACACAAUGUAUCAAGUAAAUGGCAGUUUUUUUUAUGGAAUAUAUAAUGUAGCUUCCUUUCUUUCGGUAAAUUAUAUUUUUUGUCAUGUGCUUGUUGAUUUUUAUGAUCGAGCAAACUUAGUUAGAAUCUUAAAGAUACUAUAAAUAUAAAUAAAAGAAGAUUAUAACCAAAAAAUAAUAUAAAUAAAUGUGAUUCGACAUGCCGAAUUAGACCCUCGUAUAUAUAAAUACGAUUGAUCAUUAUAUGCCUUUUAGGACAAAUGUUGGAAUUAAGAAAAAAUUGCCCCUUUCUUAAACCAUAAAACAUUUUUGUGUUGCUUACUUUCUUUUUGCAUCAACGAAUAUAGGAAUAACGUGUGUGACAUAUUCGAAUGUUUCUCUCUUCCAUCUCGAUUGUGUUCUUCCAUACAUUCACCAUAUUUCCAAAAGGACCAAAACUUAUCAUUAAAUUCAACGAUUGAUCACUCUAUUAGUAACUAGUUUAUAACCCGUGGGAACCAUGGUUACAAAAUUAAUUAAAAUUUUAUAGUAAAAAAUCAAAAUUAUUAAUUAAUUAUUCUAAAUAAAUUAUUAAUUAAGAGUUUUUUUAGUUAUAUAAAUUUUAAUCAUUGAUUUAAAUAAAUAUGUGAAAUUAUAUCAUUUGUAUUAUUUUUAUUUUAAUUUUUAUUCUAAUGUUAUUAAUUUAAUGUAAUUAAAGUGAAAAAUUUAAAAUUUGAAAUUUGAAAUGGAGUUGACAAGUGGCAUACAUUAAUUAGGAGACAUAAUAAGGUGACACAUGACAAAAGAAAAUAAAAUAUGCAUUAAUUAAUAGGCCUAAUAGGAUGACACAUAUCAAAAGGAGAAUAAAACUAUUCUUUUAUUAGAAUAGGGAUUCACUACCAAGUUACAUACUGACAUAAUUCCUCUUACAGGUGAAUGAUCGUUUACUUCACCCUCAAUCGUGUUGGAAGAUAUAAGCUAGCCAAGGACAAUUUGGUAUUUAUCUAUUUAUAAACAGUAAUUACUAGUAUGUAUUAGUUAUUAGUUGUGAAACUUACGUAUUACAUGAGUUAAUUUAAAAAAAAAAAGUUAAAUAAAAUGUCAAAAUAUUUGAUAACUUUGAAUUUAUAAGAAAAUAAGAAAAAUAAUGAAUUAUUAUAAUGCAAAUGUUUUUUGUCUUUUAAAUUUAAACAAAUAAUUUAAAUAAAAAAAAGAAACUAAUGAAUUUUAAUUUUUGGAAUUUUGAAUUUAAAAUGUAAGUUUAUUAAUAAAAUUGAUAUUCAUUUAUUAUUAUAUUUAUUGCAAUUAUUACAUUAAAAUAUAAUUUGGAAUUUAAUAAAAUAGAGAAACUCAUAAAAUGACAUGUGGAAAAAAUUAAUUUAAAAUAACCAUAAAAUGACAUUUGGCAAAUUAAAUGAGAGUACGACAAAUAGCAAAAAAAAAAACUUACAUUUAUUAGAGAAUAUUCCCUAUAUAUAGCAGUUACUAGGUUUGUAUCGUUGUCAUUGCAAAGGUGCCUUGAAAGGGUACUUUCUCAAAAUAUUGCAACGGUUAUCAUGUUCAUAUUCUAAUAAAUGAAUAGUUUUAAUCUUCUUUUGCCAAGUGUCAUGUUAAUACAACUUCUCAUUAAUAUUAUGUCAUGUCUCAUGUAGAUAUAUUAGGUAACUCAUUUUAAAAUUCAAAUUUAUAUUUUCUAAUUACAUGUUAAAUUUGAUGUUAUAAUAACUUUAAAAUUUAAUAUAUCUCUUAACUAAUAAUUUAUUUAAAAUGACUUAUUUAAAAUAACUGAUUAAUAAUUAUAAUUAUUUAUUAUAAAAGUUUAAUUAAUCUUAUAACUGUGAUUCUCACGGGUUAUAAACUAAUAUGUAUAUAUAUAUGUUAUCCUUGUAUCAGAAAACGGUUGAUUGAAGUUAAUAAAAAAGAUAGUUUGUAUACGUUUCUCUGUUGCAAAGAAAAUCCACUGCGGUUUUGAUCCAACAAAUCGUUGGUAUGUCGAUAUCCAACUAUCUUCUACAAUUUAUAUUUAUAAUAUAUCAAUGACAGGAUUUUUCAGCCAAAGAGGGGACAUGAGAACACUCAGAUAAUUGGAUGAGAUCAUAUAAUUAAGGUGUUUUAAGAAUCAAUUUACUAGAUAUAGUGUGGAUCAACUUUUACGACCAGUUACUCUAAAAUAACAAAAUGUAAAGGAUGUAUUUUUGAUAAACAAAAAAUAGUUUGGUGGUUAGGUUUGUUUAUUAUUUGGAUAAAUCCGUAUUAUUUAAUUACACAAUUAAUCGGGCUAUAUGAUUUGGUUAUUUGAAUUUAUGAAUUGAUUUAGAUUAAAACUAAACAAUUAUUUUGAAUUUCAUAUAGUGUUUUCAUAACUAAAAUAAGACCCCGAUACUAUAUUUGUUUUUUAAAUAUAUUAGAAGAACUACCAAAUAAAAAAUCUCAAUAUAUGUAUUCUUUUUUCUCUAGCGUUUUUGUAUGUAUCAUAAUAAAUUAUAUUGUUAUUUUUAGGGGUGUAAACGAGCCGAGUCGAUCGAGUCAAAUACUACCAAGCUCGAAGCUCGGCUCGACUAAAAUACUCGAGCUCGAAACUCGGCUUGAACUCGACUCGAGCCUUGAUUUUAAGCUCGAGCUCGGGCUCGUGAAAUACUCAAUAGUCUCGAGCUCGGCUCGGCUCGACUCGACUAGUAUUUAAAAAAAAUAAAACUCGCUAAAUUGAGUAAGAAAUAUUAAACAUUCCACAUGUAAUGUCUAAACUACCAAAAAAACCACUAUUAAUCACUGAAUAUCAAUAUAACAUCAACAAUAUAUAUCAUAAAUGAAUAAUUAUAAAGAAAUGAUAUAUAUUUUAUAAAUGAACAAUUAUAAAGAAAUGACAUAUAUUUAAAUUACACUAAGCUCGCGAGCCUUACGAGCUGAGUAUUUUUGUACUUGAGCUCAGCUCGAUAAGGUACUCGAGUAGCUCGAGCUCGAGCUCGGCUCGAUUAAGGUCGAGUCGAUUUCGAAUAUUUUCCAAGUCAGUCUUGAGUUUCUCGCGAGUUGGCUUGUCUCACUUACACCUUUAGUUAUUUCAAACUAAAUGAUUUAUUUUUAUUUGUUUAUUAGUAGAUUUUACGAAGAAGACGACAAGGAAUCAGUAUAUAUUUAAAUGUGAAUUUAAAUAAUUAUAUUUUUAAAAUUGACAACUCAAACUCAUUAAUAUUCUAAGUUAUCUAAAUUUAAAAGGAUCUGUUUAAAAAUCAAAUUAUGAAAACCGAUCAAUCUGAAUAUUAUCGAUUCGAUCAGAUAGUUUAAUUUUCACUAUUUAAAUUCGAAUGCGAAUCACUUUAGAUUCCGAUCGGAUCCGAUUCGUUCAAAUGAACUCUUUUAUUUUGAGAGAAAGAGCAAAAGCGCAGCAGACCUACGUCGAUGUCAACACACGUGUCUUAAUGUUAUCCGAAGUCCAUACUCUAAAGAGACAGAUGUUAUGCAAUUGGUGCGUAUUCCUGUACAUGGAAGUAUUCUACGUGCCCCCCAUACAUGAAACCCAAGGAACCCGUUGGCUACUUAUCUCAUGACUCACCACUUUUUCAUCAUUCCAAGAUGGCCAGAUGAAGGAACCUCAAUUAAAAAAUAAAUAAAUAAAUAAGCAACACAUGACUCCAACUUUAUAAAUAUAUCCCUUCCCUCUAUCAUUUCUUCAUCUCAUUACAAAAUCGCAACACUACGCCUCUACAACUCAUAAACCAGAAUUCCUAGUUUCUCACUCACAAAAUGGCUUCUGUAAACCGUAUUUGGAUGGCCGCCGGCGUAGCUGUUGUAAAUGGACAUACAGAUCAAGGCUACAAACUUAAAUCCCUCCUCAUCAACUCCUUCCGACAUGGCAAGAAGGCUUUCACCUCCGAUCUCCGUCCACUUUCCGGCCUUCUAAUAUCAGACGUCAGUGUCGGAGAUAAGAAGACAACACAGUCCGAUGAGUCUCUCCGGCAAGUCAUGUACUUGAACUGCUGGGGCCAAAGUUGAAGAUUAGUUUGUGAGUGAAACGUAAAAAUGGAAUUGGAAGCUUUCUCGACGGAUGAGGAAUCGAUGAUGCGAG